UACGGAGGGGACUAGCGUUGUUCGGAAUUACUGGGCGUAAAGCGCACGUAGGCGGAUUUGUAAGUCAGGGGUGAAAUCCCGAGGCUCAACCUCGGAACUGCCUUUGAUACUGCAAAUCUCGAGUCCGGAAGAGGUGAGUGGAAUUCCUAGUGUAGAGGUGAAAUUCGUAGAUAUUAGGAAGAACACCAGUGGCGAAAGCGGCUUCCUGGUCCAGCACCGACGUUCAGGCACGAAAGCGUGGGGAGCAAACAGG
rnacentral:rRNA from 1 species